rnacentral:misc_RNA from 1 species
UUUCCGUAGGUGAACCUGCGGAAGGAUCAUUACAGUAGUCACCCAGGUUGCCGCAAGGCCUCCUGGGUAACCUACCACCCUUUGUUUAUUACACUUUGUUGCUUUGGCAAGCCUGCCCUCGGGCUGCUGGCUCCGGCCGGCGAGCGCUUGCCAGAGGACCUAAACUCUGUUUGUCUAUACUGUCUGAGUACUAUAUAAUAGUUAAAACUUUCAACAACGGAUCUCUUGGUUCAG